CUAUUGCCAAAGUUAUUUUAUAUUUGCUCUCUAGAUAUUAGCAAAAUCACAAAGUGAGCGAAAUGAAGAGAUUUGAUUGAAGCUUUGUGCAAGCUCUCGUUAAGAUAUUAGUCAUGUCCUUAAAAGUAAUUAUUCCGUAAUUAGUGGCUUGUAAUCAUACAAGCUAUUGGUUUCCACUCAAGUUGUUAUGGAGGCUUAAUGGCCAUUGAUGUUUUAGUUAAUUAAGUUAAAUGUAUUAGUGGGUCAUCCAAUUUCUUUUAUUGUUCCUACAACACCGAUUGAAAAGAAAAGAGGAAAGGAGAAAGGAGAUAGGAGAUGAGUCUCUCGAUUGUCAUCCACUGAUUUGAGGAAGAAAGAAGAGUACAUAUGCAGAUUCUCUUUCAAAAAGGAAGGAGGAUGUUCGGCUUCAACUUGUAGCUGAUUGAGACCAAUGUACUCUCAGAUUAUCUACGUUUAGUAAACAAAAGAAAUUGGGACAUACUGCUAUGCUAUUCAUGCUAGGUAAGCUUUUUUUGUUAACUUUAAUGGGAAUAUAAUUCUUCUCCAAUUUCCCAAGACAUAA